rnacentral:rRNA from 1 species
UACGUAGGCAGCGAGCGUUGUUCGGAAUCACUGGGCGUAAAGGGCGCGUAGGCGGCCGAUCAAGUCGGGGGUGAAAGCCUGUGGCUCAACCACAGAAUUGCCUUCGAUACUGUUUGGCUUGAGACCGGAAGAGGUUAGUGGAACUGCGAGUGUAGAGGUGAAAUUCGUAGAUAUUCGCAAGAACACCAGUGGCGAAGGCGGCUGACUGGUCCGGUUCUGACGCUGAGGCGCGAAAGCGUGGGGAGCAAACAGG